rnacentral:rRNA from 1 species
GACGAACGCUGGCGGCGUGCUUAACACAUGCAAGUCGAACGGAAAGGCCCUGCUUUUGUGGGGUGCUCGAGCGGCGAACGGGUGAGUAACACGUGAGUAACCUGCCCUUGACUUUGGGAUAACUUCAGGAAACUGGGGCUAAUACCGGAUAGGAGCUCCUGCUGCAUGGUGGGGGUUGGAAAGUUUCGGCGGUUGGGGAUGGACUCGCGGCUUAUCAGCUUGUUGGUGGGGUAGUGGCUUACCAAGGCUUUGACGGGUAGCCGGCCUGAGAGGGUGACCGGCCACAUUGGGACUGAGAUACGGCCCAGACUCCUACGGGAGGCAGCAGUGGGGAAUAUUGCACAAUGGGCGGAAGCGUGAUGCAGCAACGCCGCGUGCGGGAUGACGGCCUUCGGGUUGUAAACCGCUUUCGCCUGUGACGAAGCGUGAGUGACGGUAAUGGGUAAAGAAGCACCGGCUAACUACGU